rnacentral:tRNA from 2 species
GGGCCUAUAGCUCAGUCGGUUAGAGCACAUCGCUGAUAACGAUGGGGUCGCAAGUUCGAUUCUUGCUAGGCCCACCA